rnacentral:rRNA from 1 species
UGGGGAAUAUUGGACAAUGGGGGAACCCUGAUCCAGCCAUGCCGCGUGUGUGAAGAAGGCCUUAUGGUUGUAAAGCACUUUAAGCGAGGAGGAGGGUACUGGUAUUAAUACUACCAGGUACUGGACGUUACUCGCAGAAUAAGCACCGGCUAACUCUGUGCCAGCAGCCGCGGUAAUACAGAGGGUGCGAGCGUUAAUCGGAUUUACUGGGCGUAAAGCGUGCGUAGGCGGCUAAUUGAGUCGGAUGUGAAAUCCCCGAGCUUAACUUGGGAAUUGCAUUCGAUACUGGUUAGCUAGAGUGUGGGAGAGGAUGGUAGAAUUCCAGGUGUAGCGGUGAAAUGCGUAGAGAUCUGGAGGAAUACCGAUGGCGAAGGCAGCCAUCUGGCCUAACACUGACGCUGAGGUACGAAAGCGUGGGGAGCAAACAGG